rnacentral:rRNA from 1 species
UACGUAGGUGGCAAGCGUUGUCCGGAUUUAUGCUGGGCGUAAAGCGCGCGCAGGCGGAACUGUAGUCUGGGUGAAAUCUCACGGCUCAACCGUGAGUGGUCCCUGGAUAGUGCCAGGCCUUGAGGUGUCUAGAGGAGAGCGGAAUUCCGGUGUAGUGUGGAAUGCGUAGAUAUCGGGGAAGAACCACCAGUGGCGAAAGCGGCUCUCUGGGGACCACCUGACGCUGAAGGCGCGAAAGCGUGGGGAGCGAACCGG